rnacentral:rRNA from 1 species
AUUGAACGCUGGCGGCAGGCCUAACACAUGCAAGUCGAGCGGUAGAGAGGUGCUUGCAUCUCUUGAGAGCGGCGGACGGGUGAGUAAUGCCUAGGAAUCUGCCUAGUGGUGGGGGAUAACGUUCGGAAACGGACGCUAAUACCGCAUACGUCCUACGGGAGAAAGCGGGGGAUCUUCGGACCUCGCGCCAUUAGAUGAGCCUAGGUCGGAUUAGCUAGUUGGUGAGGUAAUGGCUCACCAAGGCGACGAUCCGUAACUGGUCUGAGAGGAUGAUCAGUCACACUGGAACUGAGACACGGUCCAGACUCCUACGGGAGGCAGCAGUGGGGGAAUAUUGGACAAUGGGCGAAAGACCUGAUCCAGCCAUGCCGCGUGUGUGAAGAAAGGUCUUCGGAUUGUAAAGCACUUUAAGUUGGGUAGGAAGGGUAGUAACCUAAUACGUUGCUACUUUGACGUUACCGACAGAAUAAGACACCGGC